GUACUGCUGAAGAGUCCCAAACUAGGACGAAAUAGGCGUUCAGUAC
rnacentral:hammerhead_ribozyme from 1 species